CAAAGUCUUUUUCUAGUGACCUUACUGAUUAUUUCGUUGCAGCUUUCUUUUAUGUCACUUGGAUAAUGAUAAUAUAUAUUUAGUCCUUCUAAAAUUAUCGAAAUUUCCUUUUAGUCUUGAUUAUUUUUUGUUCUAUUCCAGUCGCCAAAUUUAAAAAUUUAUCACUUUUAGUUCUCCAAGUACUUAGGUAGCGCUGGUCACUUGGAUAAUGAUAACAUAUAUUUAUUCCCUCUAAAAUUAUCGAAAUUUCCUUUUAGUCUGGAUUCUUUUUUGUUCUAUUCCAGUCACCAAAUUUAAAAAUUCAUCAAUUUUAGUCCUCCAAGUACUUAGGUAGCGCUUAAAAAUUGUUUUAAGAUGCUAUUUAAACUACUUUUAAGAUAUAAAAAACUGCAUUUCCAAAUUUGUGGUACUAAAAUAGGACAAAAUUUUAGACUAGAAAUGUUUUUGAAGGAAUAGGAACAAAAACAUAUUUUACCCUUUUUUUUUUUGAUAAUAAAUGUGUUCUAUUAGAUUGGUUUAAUUUUUCCUGAUGUUUGGUUUCAUGGAAAUGCUCUAUUUAUAGUUUUAACAUUAAUAUUUGUUAAACUUGUGUAUUUUUUUUAAUUCUGAUUCUUUUCUCGGCAGAUUCUUCAUUGCUUAUCUAUUCAGGGCCUUAGCUCAUCAGGUGUUGGGAGUGGUACUGGUGGCGUCAAUGGUGGAACUGGAAGCAGUAGUGGUGCUUCAUUAAGGACAGAUUGAAACUCUUCUUAAAGGCAAAGCUUGCUUUGGAAUAAAAGAGGCUGCAACUAGUUUGACAAAACAUCUUGCACAAAGAGCCCAGGAGACCUUUGAAGAAUUUGAAGUGACAAUCGAGAAAGAUUCUACAAAGACUGCAGUUACAGAUGGAACUGUCCAUCCUUUGACACACUCUGAUUAACUAUGUGAUGUAUUUUUUUUUGACUAUCAAUCCACCUUGAAGCAACGUUUUCUGGAAUUUGAAAGUGGUGAUGAUUCUUCACAGCUAGCAUAUGUAACUGUGUGAAUAAUGCAUGCUUUGCAAACCAAUUUAGAUGGAAAAUCAGAGCAGUAUAAAGACCCUGCAUUAACACAUGUUUUUCUCAUGAACAAUAUUUAUUAUAUUGUAAGAUGGGGUUUGAGGUCUGAGGCCAAGGAUUUGCCUGGGGAUGACUGAAGCCAAGGUCUGAAGCCAACGACAUAGGAGGAUUGUUCAGUAGCAUGCAAAUCAAUAAAAAAGAAAAGGUCUUGUUCUAGUGACCUUGCUGACCAUUACAUGUCUUGCAGCUUUCUUAGAUGUCAGUUGGAUAAUAAUAAAACAUGUUUAGCCCCUUUAAAAUUAUCAAAAUAUAUUUUGGUUAUGAAUUUCUUUAAAUCACAAUUUUUUUUACAUGUUUUGGUGUUUGAAAGCCUUUUUCCUCUUCACCCUUUUCUGUUCUUGGUCUGAGGCCAAGGAUUUGCUAGGGGAUAACUGAAGCCAAGGUCUGAAGCCAACGACAUAGGAGAGUUGUUCAGCAGCAUGCAAAUCAAUAAAAUAGAAAUGCUUGGGCAAAGGUCUUGUUCUAGUGCAUGUCUUACAGCUUUCUUAGAUGUCACUUGGAUAAUGAUUCAUCAGUGCUUAUCUAUUCAGGGCCUUUGCCCAUCAGGUGGCAGGAGUGAUACUGGUGGCGGCGAUGGUGGAACUGGAAGCAUUAGUGGUGCUUCAUUAAGGACAGGUUUAAGAAAUUUAAUGUUAUGUUUGAGGAACUCCAUUAGAGAUAAUCUUAGUGGACAGCUUCUGACAUCCAUCUGCUAGUGUCUCUCAGGCCUGCAGUUGCUGAAGUCUUGUUGGUAGCCUAUAGAUCGUUUGUCAAUCGUUUUGGGCCUCUUGUGGAGACUGGUAAGAAUCCUCAGAAAUACAUCAAAUACACAACAGAAGAUCUAGACCAUAUGUUGGUUAAAUUUUUUGAAGGAAAAAAGAUGAGUGAAACAAAGCGGUAAAAUAAUUGCUGAUAACUUAAGAUAGUUCUAUUUUAAAUUUAGCGUGAUUGUAUUUGGCGGUUAUUGGUUAAUGCCUUUAUUUUGCAUUGGUUUCUUUUCUCAAUCUCACUUGUUCUAAUUCACCAGGUUGUAUUUGGUAGCUGAAAAGGAGUUAUAGUUUGUUUUUUGUGUGAUAAGAUGGUGAAUGAUUUUGUAUAGUUUGCUUGAUUUGCUGCUUGAGUUGUUAGGGUGUGUUUGGAAACUCGUUUAUAGAAGUUUUGCAUUUUUCAAUGUAUAAAGGUUGAAGCUAUGCCAGUGUUGGAUUGAUGUUGAAUGUAGGUUAAAGUCAAUGGAAUUGAUAUAGUAUUGAAGGGAAAUGUAUUUCUGCCACGGGUACUAGUUUGUGAUUUUAGCAGUCUUGAGGGCAACUGCAUGUAACAAGGAAUUGGUGUAAUAUUCUGGCAUCAAAUUUCAUUUAGGAUUUUUUAAUUUAUAUUUCUGGAAGCCACAGCCAUAUAAGAGUGUAAACUCGUCAAAUUGUCUUGGAAUAGGAAUACUUGUGCCAAAAUGAUUGGUUGACGAAACUAGCCAAAGUUUUGCCUGGUCUUAAUGUUUAUCAAUCUAUAUUUAUAUCUAUAAUACUAUUAAUAAAAGGAAUUUCUUAAUUUAUAUUCUCUUUUAUCUUUUUCACUAAUAAUAGUUAAUAAGCAUUAAUAAAUUGUAUCUGAGCAUUUAUAAGCAUUUAUUUAUAAAUUGAAUUAUUAUUUUUAUUUUGGGUAUAAUAUCAUAUUUUUCACUGCAUGUGCAAUAUUAAUGAAAGACAGUUUUCCUUUGGAUGUUUAAUAUAGCAUACUCAUUACUGGUUGAAAAGGUAGUUGAUAUUUCUUUUUUUAAUUCUUACAAAUGUGAACUGUGGUUUGUGAUUGUGUCUGAUGAGAGGUAUUUAUUUAUUUUUAAUUGCUAAAGAACAAGGAAGUAAUGUCAUAUUGUCAUGAUAUGUUAUGGAUAGCUCUUUUAACUCUCUUCGUGUUCUUGCAUGUUGUGUUUUAAGUGUCGGGACUUGGGUUGGGGUGGGGUGUGGUCUUGCAUGUUGUUAAGUAGCUCAAAAUUGUUUUCUGUCAUGUGGGUGGACUUGAUUGAUCAAGCGAGUAAUUUGAUUUUAAACUUUUAAGAUUAUUUCUCUACUUUGUAUGGAGUAUGGACUUGUUGGAUUGACAAAGUGGGUAAUUUUUUCAAGAUUUUUUCAUUAGAUUGAAUGUUGAGUUGUUUAAUUGGUGAAAUAGCUAGUUAGAAUUUCAAGAUUCUUUCAUUCUUUGCAUGUGGACCUGCAGAUUUUGAGUGAGAAUGUUGUGAUGUAUUUACUGUAUUUUAAUGGAAUCAGAAUUCCUAAAUAAAAGUUCUGUUAUAUAUGUCUACAUUUAGGCAACAAAUUAUAAUUUGUAGAGACUUUAGUGGUUUAUUUAUUUAUUUAUUUUUUAUUAUUCUCUGCUCUUGAAAUAAAUCUAGUUUUGUUUUUAAUUGAUUUUCUGUACAUGUUAUAAGAUCAGAUUAUAGUUCUGAGAUCUAAAUUCUGAUUGGAUAUAAAUUGAGUUUGUUCUGUUCAAGAGUUGGAAUAAUAUCCCAUCGAUUGUUACAAACUACAUUUUGUACCUGGGGAUUGCAUGUUUAUGUAUAUUUAGUUCUUAUGCUAUUAAUCACAUUUACAAAUCUCCAAUCUUGCAGAUAUCAGCCUUGAGGUGUCCAGUUAGGUUGAGGUUUGUGUGUUAACAUCCCACAUGGGUUAGGCAUAUAAUGAAGGUAAAAUGGUCUUUGUGAAAAGUUAGAAGAUAAAAUGAAGGUACAUUGU